rnacentral:lncRNA from 1 species
ACGCUGCUAGCUGUUGGGGUUUCACAAGUUUGCCCUGUGGUUUUACUGUUAAAGAGAGGCCAUUGUAACUGAGAACUAGCUUCAAAUACAGCAGCUGCUAAAUCUUUCCAGGCUUAUGAGAUAAUCUUGUUAUAGGUAGCCAGGUAUUUAACAUCUGUCUUUCAAAGGGAUGUAACUCCCAUCUACUUCUCCAGAUCCAAGUCUACAGGAGGCCUGUUGUCAUGCUUCACACCUUGAUGAUAACGGUCUCACCUCUGGGUAAACAAGCCCCCAAAUUAUAUGCUUUCUUUUAUAAGAAUUGCUUUAGCUAUGGUGUUCUUCACAGCAAUAAAAUAGCAAUGAAGACAGAAACCGAUACCAGGAAAUGGAGUAUUUCUGUGACAGGCAUGACCAUGCUGUAUAUUGGUGGAAUGUGGAAUUUGGACUAGAGAAGUGACUGAAUGGUUUAAGUUGGGACUUUAUGGGCUAUCGUAGUAGGAACAAAGACAUUCAUAUUGGGAAAAUGUAGACAAGUGGGAGACCAGCAUAGAAAGUUGCAGGGAGAGAAAUUAUACAAAGUGAAUACAAAGCAACUUAGUGACCAUUCUUGACAUAUUUCAGCAAAGAAUGUGGCUGCUUUUGCCCCUGUCCUGAAAAUCUGGCUGAGUUUUUUGAUUAAUGUUGAUGGCAGAGGAGAUGUCAAGACAGCUUAAAAUUGAUUAUGUCAUCUGGUUAUUACUAAUCACUCUUAUUUAGGUCAAUAAUGGAAAAGAUAAAGCUAGACAAAAGAAAUACCAAAUGUACAGAUUGAGGAGAAAAGAAAGCACUGGAAAGUGUAAUGGAGCUAAGUCCAGUGCUUCUAGAAGAUUAAAAUUUAAAGAAAAAUUUGACACUGGAAUAAAAUGAGCAGCAAGCUCAGAUAAGACCCCACCCAGUUUAAUUCCCUUGCAAAAGGGAAUUAAAGAAGUUUAAGCAGUGAAGGAAACUAUCAACAGGGAAAGCUGAUGCAAAUGUAAAUGAAUCAGAGGGCCAAGUUCCAGGCCAGCAAGUAGCUGAAUUUGGCAGCUUCAGCAAAGUGGUUCUGGCCUUAGAGUACAGGAAAUCAAGAGAGCAAGUCCUUACAGCAUAGAAAGGAAUGGUUCUUCCCCCACUGGCUAAGAAAAGGUGCUGAGUCCAGGCAAGUGUGUGAGUGUUGAGGACACCCUGCAGGUGUCCAUGCAGUGAUCCAUGAAGAAAUGAGAAUGAAACCUUGGUCCAGAUAGACUUCGUCAACCUAGAUCAGACUUCAGGGAGUUUAAUGCUAGGCCAUUCAUUGUCAGCAUAUUAAAACAUAGUACAAUUGGGAAAAUUACUAAACAUUUUCCCUUUAAGUAAAUUAUUUUAUUCUUUUUUUGGAAGAUUUACUUAAUUUUAUUUUAUGUGGAAAGUUGAAUACAUAGUAGAAAAAUGGAUAUAAUCCAUUUUGUAAGGAAUAUUGAAAUUACUCAAAAUAAAUUAUCUGGUUGC